UGGGGGAUAUUGCACAAUGGGGGGAACCCUGAUGCAGCGACGCCGCGUGAGGGAAGACGGUUUUCGGAUUGUAAACCUCUGUCUUCGGGGACGAAAAGAAUGACGGUACCCGAGAAGGAAGCCACGGCUAACUACGUGCCAGCAGCCGCGGUAAUACGUAGGUGGCGAGCGUUGUCCGGAAUUACUGGGUGUAAAGGGAGCGUAGGCGGGGGAGCAAGUUGAAUGUAUAAACUACCGGCUCAACUGGUAGUCGCGUUCAAAACUGCUUUUCUUGAGUGGAGUAGAGGCAGGCGGAAUUCCUAGUGUAGCGGUGAAAUGCGUAGAUAUUAGGAGGAACACCAGUGGCGAAGGCGGCCUGCUGGGCUCUAACUGACGCUGAGGCUCGAAAGCGUGGGUAGCAAACAGG
rnacentral:rRNA from 1 species